rnacentral:rRNA from 1 species
UAAGGAAUAUUGGUCAAUGGAGGCAACUCUGAACCAGCCAUGCCGCGUGCAGGAAGACGGCCCUCUGGGUUGUAAACUGCUUUUAUUCGGGAAUAAACCUAUCUACGUGCAGAUAGCUGAAUGUACCGAAGGAAUAAGGAUCGGCUAACUCCGUGCCAGCAGCCGCGGUAAUACGGAGGAUCCAAGCGUUAUCCGGAUGUAUUGGGUUUAAAGGGUGCGUAGGCGGCCUAUUAAGUCAGGGGUGAAAGACGGUAGCUCAACUAUCGCAGUGCCCUUGAUACUGAUGAGCUUGAGUGAACUAGAGGUAGGCGGAAUGUGACAAGUAGCGGUGAAAUGCAUAGAUAUGUGACGGAACACCGAUUGCGAAGGCAGCUUACUGGGGUUUUAUUGACGCUGAGGCACGAAAGCGUGGGGAUCAAACA